CGAACCGUUAAAAGCGCUGGGCGGCGGUGGAUGAGUGUCGCCGGUGCGAAGGUGGAGCCGGUCCCGGAUCCCUCCCGUGAGAGCUGCGGUUUGGAUACCAAAGUCAGUGAAUUGCUAGAGCAUCCUAGGAUAUUCUAAAAAGAGAUAUUUUGUGUGCUUGCUGUGAGUGCUACCUGAACAGAACAAAGUGUAAGUGUACGGUGUAAGCGCUCUUUGUCUAAGUAUAUGGUUUAUACACAAUUAUUUAGAAAAAAGUUUGUAUUUUUUAUACUUUUCUUUCUAAACGUUUAAAAAAUACCUACAUGGAUGAAGUAAUUUGAAGAGUUAUUUGUGAAAGGCCUGAUUCCCCACCUUAUGGGAGCUCAUAGUUACUUCCAGAUUUUAAAAUGAGUGUAAAGACUAACACCAUGCAUUACUCCUUAGCAACCUUGCACACCCUGUUGCAGAGGCAGAAAUAGCUAUUCAAGAGGCAGUCAUGCCUUUGGUGUCUUUUUCUUUCAAAUUCUUUCCUAGUCACUAUCUUAUUCUGUACUUUUUCCU